AGGUUCUUCUUCUUCAGGAUCAGCAUUUUCUUGGCCCGUAUUUUCAUGCGAAGCUGGAGGCAAGCACCGAAAAAUAUUAACUGAAAUCAUCCUAAUCAUUUCUUCUUGACAGGUUUCUGUGAUUUUCCCCGACCCCGAUUGUAUCACAUCAACCAAUUCCAGAAGCGUCUGCCGCUUAAUUUCCUUCUCUCUGGCAGACUUCAGAGUGUCCGAAAAAUCAAACUGAUAACAACAUAUCUGCAAUUUUCUAAUGAAUAAAUUCU
rnacentral:misc_RNA from 1 species